UACGUAAGGCGCAAGCGUUGUCCGGAAUUAUUGGGCGUAAAGAGCUCGUAGGCGGUUUGUCGCGUCUGCUGUGAAAACCCGAGGCUCAACCUCGGGCCUGCAGUGGGUACGGGCAGACUAGAGUGCGGUAGGGGAGACUGGAAUUCCUGGUGUAGCGGUGGAAUGCGCAGAUAUCAGGAGGAACACCGAUGGCGAAGGCAGGUCUCUGGGCCGCAACUGACGCUGAGGAGCGAAAGCAUGGGGAGCGAACAGG
rnacentral:rRNA from 1 species